rnacentral:rRNA from 1 species
UACGAAGGGGCUAGCGUUGCUCGGAAUUACUGGGCGUAAAGGGCGCGUAGGCAGGACAGUUUAGUCAGGAAGUUAAACGCCCAGGGCUCAACCUUGGAAUCGCUUUUGAUACUGGCUGUCUUGAGUACGGGAGAGGUGUGUGAACUCCGAGUGUAGAGGUGAAAUUCGUAGAUAUUCGGAAGAACACCAGUGGCGAAGGCGAACACACUGGCCCGUUACUGACGCUGAGGCGCGAAAGCGUGGGGAGCAAAGCAGG